UGGGGAAUAUUGCGCAAUGGGGGAAACCCUGACGCAGCGACGCCGCGUGCGGGAUGAAGGCCUUCGGGUUGUAAACCGCUUUUGAUUGGGAGCAAGCUUUCGGGUGAGUGUACCUUUCGAAUAAGCGCCGGCUAACUACGUGCCAGCAGCCGCGGUAAUACGUAGGGCGCAAGCGUUAUCCGGAAUUAUUGGGCGUAAAGCGAGCGCAGGCGGUCAAUUAAGUCUGAUGUGAAAGCCCCCGGCUCAACCGGGGAGGGUCAUUGGAAACUGGUUGACUUGAGUGCAGAAGAGGAGAGUGGAAUUCCAUGUGUAGCGGUGAAAUGCGUAGAUAUAUGGAGGAACACCAGUGGCGAAGGCGACUCUCUGGUCUGUAACUGACGCGGAGGCUCGAAAGCGUGGGGAGCGAACAGG
rnacentral:rRNA from 1 species